CAGUGCGCAUGCUCUUGCCAGUUCAUGGGCGGGCCCCUCGUUAUAACUCAGGAAUAUUCAUAUCAACCCAGAACAAGAUGACUGACUCUGUGACUGGUCUCUGAGUAGAGGAAGCGUUGGCCUGAAUGAUCUGCGUGCCCUAACGCUACUCCGUACGCGGCUGUGAUCACUUCCCCAACGGUCGGGAAAUAUCGUUCCCAUACAGAUUCGGUGGAGUGUAAGAGUCUGGCGGUUGCAGAGCAGCUCCUCACGACCACUGAGGAAAGUACGUCUGGUCCGCUAGCCCAAAGGUGUCACAGUUGCAUGUGUUAUAUACAAGGUCGGCCCGUGUGACCCUCAGCGGCAGAUACCGGUGCAGGUCGGCCCGUGUGACCCUCAGCGGCAGAUACCGGUGCAGGUCGGCCCGUGUGACCCUCAGCGGCAGAUACCGGUGCAGGUCGGCCCGUGUGACCCUCAGCGGCAGAUACCGGUGCAGGUCGGCCCGUGUGACCCUCAGCGGCAGAUACCGGUGCAGGUCGGCCCGUGUGACCCUCAGCGGCAGAUACCGGUGCAGGUCGGCCCGUGUGACCCUCAGCAGCAGAUACCGGUGCAGGUCGGCCCGUGUGACCCUCAGCGGCAGAUACCGGUGCAGGUCGGAUUACGUUCUGUGAUAGAAUCCUAUAAAUGUGAACAUGCCGCUUCAGUGUUCCACCAUCACUAUU